GGGGUUGUGGCUCAGUGGUAGAGUGCACGCCUACCAUGUGUGAGGCAUUGGUUUGAUCCUUAACACCAUCU
rnacentral:tRNA from 1 species